GUACUCAUGGUGUAGUGGUUAUCACAUCCGCCUAACACGCGGAAGAUGCCAUGUUCGAGACCUGGUGUAUACA
rnacentral:tRNA from 1 species